UACAGAGGGUGCUAGCGUUGUUCGGAAUCAUUGGGCGUAAAGGGCGUGUAGGCGGUUUGUUAAGUCAUGUGUGAAAUCCCUCGGCUCAACCGGGGAACGACGCAUGAAACUGGCAAGCUAGAGUACCAAAGAGGGGGGUGGAAUUCCCGGUGUAGUGGUGAAAUGCGUAGAGAUCAGGCAGAACACCUGGGGCGAAGGCGGCCAGCUGGGCCGUCCCUGACGCUGAGGCGCGAAGGCGUGGGGAGCGAACGGG
rnacentral:rRNA from 1 species